UCAUAAAAAUCUUAAUAUCAUUGUCCCUCAUUUUAGAGAUAUCACAUCCAACAACUUCUUUAUGUGCUUUUAGAAUACUUACAAGUUGGGCUUCCUGAUUAGGGAUCACUAGAAGGGUGUCAAUAGGUGCGCUAGGAAGUGGCUUUAGUUCUAGAGCGGGUGAUGAUUCUAAUAAAAGAGCUAUUGAGAGAUUAGAUGAUAGCUCAUAUUUUUUGAUCCAAAAUAGAGCGAUUUUAGGGUAGGGC
rnacentral:lncRNA from 1 species